GACGAACGCUGGCGGCGUGCUUAACACAUGCAAGUCGAACGGAAAGGCCCUGCUUUUGUUGGGUGCUCGAUUGGCGAACGGGUGAGUAACACGUGAGUAACCUGCCCUUUACUUUGGGAUAACUUCAGGAAACUUGGGCUAAUACCGGAUAGGAGCUCCUGCUGCAUGGUGGGGGUUGGAAAGUUUCGGCGGUUGGGGAUGGACUCGCGGCUUAUCAGCUUGUUGGUGGGGUAGUGGCUUACCAAGGCUUUGACGGGUAGCCGGCAUGAGAGGGUGACCGGCGACAAUGGGACUGAGAGACGGCACAGAAUGCAACGGGAGGCAGCAGUGGGGAAUAGUGCAGAAUGGGAGGAAGCAUGAUGCAGAAACGCCGGGAGCGGGAAGACGGCCUUCGGGUUGUAAAAAGAUUUAGACUGUGACGAAGCGUGAGUGACGGUAAUGGGUAAAGAAGCACCGGCUAACUACGUG
rnacentral:rRNA from 1 species